UACGUAGGAUGCAAGCGUUGUCCGGAAUUAUUGGGCGUAAAGAGCGCGCAGGCGGUUUGCCAAGUCAGAUGUGAAAGAGGCCGGCUUAACCGGCAAGGGUCAUUGAAACUGACAGACUAGAGUGCAGCAGAGGAUAGCGGAAUUCCCGGUGUAGUGGUGAAAUGCGUAGAUAUCGGGAGGAACACCAGUGGCGAAGGCGGCGACCUGGGCCAAUAUUGACGCUGAGGUGCGAAAGCGUGGGGAGCAAACAGG
rnacentral:rRNA from 1 species